rnacentral:rRNA from 1 species
GCAACUCGACUGCACGAAGCUGGAAUCGCUAGUAAUCGCGGAUCAGCACGCCGCGGUGAAUAUGUUCCCGGGCCUUGUACACACCGCCCGUCACACCAUGGAAGUCUGCAAUGCCCGAAGCCGGUGGCCUAACCACUUAUGUGGAAGGAGCCGUCUAAGGCAGGGCAGAUGACUGGGGUGAAGUCGUAACAAGGUACC